UGCAAUUGCACCGUCUGAAGAUGAGCCUGCGGUCCAUUAGCUUGUUGGUGGGGUAAGAGCCUACCAAGGCAGUGAUGGAUAGCCGGCCUGAGAGGGUGUACGGUCACACUGGGACUGAGACACGGCCCAGACUCCUACGGGAGGCAGCAGCUAAGAAUCUUCCGCAAUGGGCGCAAGCCUGACGGAGCGACGCCGCGUGAAUGAAGAAGGCCGAGAGGUUGUAAAGUUCUUUUCUUGGUGAAGAAUAAUAUGAGUAGUGGAAAGACUUAUAGAUGACGUUAACCAAGGAAUAAGUCCCGGCCAAUUACGUGCCAGCAGCCGCGGUAACACGUAAGGGGCGAGCGUUGUUCGGAAUUAUUGGGCGUAAAGGGCGUGUAGGCGGUCUUAUAAGCCUGGUGUAAAAGGUACUGGCUCAACCAGUAUUUUGCGCUGGGAACUGUAAGUCUUGAGUUUAGGAGGGGAAGCUGGAAUUCCAGGUGUAGGGGUGAAAUCUGUAGAUAUCUGGAAGAACACCGGUGGCGAAGGCGAGCUUCUAUCCAUAGACUGACGCUGAGGCGCGAAAGCGUGGGGAGCGAACAGGAUUAGAUACCCUGGUAGUCCACGCUGUAAACGAUGUGCACUGGGCGUAGGAUGCGAUUAAGUGUUCUGUGCCGUAGCUAACGCGUUAAGUGCACCGCCUGGGGAGUAUGCCCGCAAGGGUGAAACUCAAAGGAAUUGACGGGGGCCCGCACAAGCGGUGGAGCAUGUGGUUUAAUUCGAUACGCGAGAAACCUUACCAGGGUUUGACAUGUACUUGAAUGUCAUAGAGAUAUGGCAGUCUCUUUUGGGACGGGUACACAGGUGCUGCAUGGUUGUCGUCAGCUCGUGUCGUGAGAUGUUGGGUUAAGUCCCGCAACGAGCGCAACCCCUGCUGUCUGUUGCUAACAGGUAAUGCUGAGGACUCAGACGGAUCUGCCGGUGACAAACCGGAGGAAGGUGGGGAUGACGUCAAAUCCUCAUGGCCCUUAUAUCCUGGGCUACACACGUGCUACAAUGGCCGGUACAAAGUGUUGCGAGACGGUGACGUCGAGCUAAUCACAAAAAGCCGGUCUCAGUUCGGAUUGGAGUCUGAAACUCGACUCCAUGAAGUUGGAAUCGCUAGUAAUCGCGCAUCAGCAUGGCGCGGUGAAUACGUUCCCGGGCCUUGUACACACCGCCCGUCACACCACCCGAG
rnacentral:rRNA from 1 species